UACGGGGGGAGCAAGCGUUGUUCGGAUUUACUGGGCGUAAAGGGCGCGUAGGCGGCCAGUGCAAGUCAGUUGUGAAAUCUCCGAGCUUAACUCGGAAAGGUCAACUGAUACUGCUCGGCUAGAGUGCGGAAGGGGCAACUGGAAUUCUUGGUGUAGCGGUGAAAUGCGUAGAUAUCAAGAGGAACAUCUGCGGCGAAGGCGGGUUGCUGGGCCGACACUGACGCUGAUGCGCGAAAGCUAGGGGAGCGAACGGG
rnacentral:rRNA from 1 species